GCUGGCUGUGAUGACAAACUUGCCCUCUCUGAGAGAGCUUCUCUAUUAUGACACUUAAAAAUACGCUCCUGAGCCAAC